rnacentral:rRNA from 1 species
CACGUAGGGGCGAGCGUUGUCCGGAAUGACUAGGCGUAAAGGGCGUGUAGGCGCUUUACAAGUCUUUCGUGAAAGUCCUGCUUUCAAGGUGGGAAUUGCGUAGGAAACUGUUGAGCUUGAGUGCGGAAGAGGUAAGUGGAAUUCCCAGUGUAGCGGUGAAAUGCGUAGAGAUUGGGAGGAACACCAGUGGCGAAGGCGACUUCCUGGCACAAUACUGACGCUCAUGUGCGAAAGCUAGGGUAGCGAACGGGAUUAGAUACCCCCGUAGUCCCUGA